CACUGCCUCCUUCAGGGUAGUGAGACCAUUCCUUCCUCCAAAAAGGAUUACAUCAUUACAUGGACACAACUCCCUAACCAGACGCUAGCUGAGUGCAGCGAUCUCACCCGGUGCUUUGCCUGCUUUUCUCAUUGCUGCUUCCUCUCAGCUGUGCCUUAGAAGCUGUUUUUUUUUAUCUACAAGCAGGGGAUAAAAACCCAGCAAACUAAUAUGCUGAAGCUGACCAGACUAAGGAUGCUAGCCAGAUGAAUACCUGAGUAUACUCGAAUAAAUCGGUUGAAUAAAUGGUGAAAAAGUGUUUGAAGAUCUGAAUGCUUCCAAGGAUUUUUUUUUUUUUAAAAAAAAACACCACCACAUUUUUUUUUCUUGUGAAAUUUAACACAAUAAACAGGCUGCCCACACU